rnacentral:rRNA from 1 species
CCUACGGGGUGCUGCAGUGGGGAAUAUUGGACAAUGGGCGAAAGCCUGAUCCAGCCAUGCCGCGUGUGUGAAGAAGGCCUUCGGGUUGUAAAGCACUUUCAGUGGGGAAGAAAGCCUUGGGGCUAAUACCCUCGAGGAAGGACAUCACCCACAGAAGAAGCACCGGCUAACUCCGUGCCAGCAGCCGCGGUAAUACGGAGGGUGCGAGCGUUAAUCGGAAUUACUGGGCGUAAAGCGCGCGUAGGCGGUCUGAUAAGCCGGUUGUGAAAGCCCCGGGCUCAACCUGGGAACGGCAUCCGGAACUGUCAGGCUAGAGUGCAGGAGAGGAAGGUAGAAUUCCCGGUGUAGCAGUGAAAUGCGUAGAGAUCGGGAGGAAUACCAGUGGCGAAGGCGGCCUUCUGGACUGACACUGACGCUGAGGUGCGAAAGCGUGGGUAGCAAACAGGAUUAGAUACCCGGGUAGUC